rnacentral:rRNA from 1 species
UACGUAGGGUGCAAGCGUUGUCCGGAAUUAUUGGGCGUAAAGAGCUCGUAGGCGGUCUGUCGCGUCUGCUGUGAAAACUCAGGGCUUAACCCUGAGCUUGCAGUGGGUACGGGCAGACUAGAGGUGCGGUAGGGGAGACUGGAAUUCCGUGGUGAUAGCGGUGAAAUGCGCAGAUAUCAGGAGGAACACCGGUGGCGAAGGCU